rnacentral:misc_RNA from 1 species
GUGUUCCCUGCCCUCACGGGUAGAAACGCCCACCCUUUGUAUAUUAUAUCUUUGUUGCUUUGGCAGGCCGUCUUUGGGCGCCGGCUCCGGCUGGAUCGUGCCUGCCAAAGAAAACCCAAACUCUGAAUGUUAGUGUCGUCCGAGUACUAUCUAAUAGUUAAAACUUUCAACAACGGAUCUCUUGGUUCU